UACGUAGGAGGCAAGCGUUGUCCGGAAUUACUGGGUGUAAAGCGCGUGUAGGCGGCAGGCCAAGUCUGUGGUGAAAUCGCUCGGCUCAACUGGGCGGGGUCCAUGGAAACUGGUCAGCUGGAGGACGGUAGAGGUGAGUGGAAUUCCCGGUGUAGUGGUGAAAUGCGUAGAGAUCGGGAGGAACACCCGUGGCGAAGGCGGCUCACUGGGCCAUAACUGACGCUGAGAAGCGAAAGCAUGGGGAGCGAACAGG
rnacentral:rRNA from 1 species